GUGUACGAAUGAAAACUGACAGGUGUUUGUUUAUGUUUGCUAUCGAUUUUGUUUUCUCAUUCUAUGCCCAGAAAAUUCGCAAAAGAUGGGCUGGAAAGUUGAAUAAUCUUGCUAAACUCCCAUCAUAAUAACAUUCCACCUAGUAUUCCGCAGCAUGUUCUGCCCCGUGACCUGCAGUUUUGUUUAGGAAAUAAGAUGAGAACCGGUGUGAUGGGCAAGUCGCGUAAGAAUGAAUAAAACUGAUCGCAGGUUGCGUGAUUGUUAUCUUCCAAGCUAAUCCAACUGGCUGUGCCGGGUGUGGGCAUGUAAAAAGUGAAAAAAAUAGCCAGGGUGCCAAGGAGAAUGGGCUGCUUCAGAUUCAAGGUCUUCAAGGGGAACAACCUAGGAAAUAGCAUUUAUACUGGCGGAUUUCACCAAAUUAUGAGCAUGUUUAACUGAUGUCGGUCGGACGAAAAAACCAAUGCAGCUGCUAGAGGUGAAGGGGAGUGGAA